ensembl:lncRNA
CACUUUAGAGCUGAAGACGUCAAUUAUUUGUUUCUGCUUUCAAAGAGAAACGAAAUGAUCCUUCUAGAGCGUAAAGCUGCUUUACAGGUUGGUAACAGCUGGUCUGUUUCCAGAUGCUUUACUGUGACGGCUCUACUAGGAUACGUUGUUCAUGAGAUUAUUUUCAUUAUAUUCACGUAAAAGCAGGAUUGUACUGUUGUUAAAGUGGAGCUGGCUGAAUUAUUCACCAAUGGUUAUUUUGACGAUGGAUUAAUCUGCUGAUUGGAUUUGUUCUUCCGUCCGUUAUGGGAUCCUGUGCUUUUCCACUACGACUCAUCUUUUUAUCAUCAGCUCCGUUUGGUCUCAGACUCGUCCUGUUCUUCCACUGUGAUCAAACAUCUUCUGUGAAGCCCUGGAGGCUCUCCUGCGCCCUCUAGAGGGCUCCCGGUCUCCGUGAGGGCCUCCCCCCCCCCCCCCUCCCCCUGAUGGGGGGCUCCGGUGCCGCUGUGAGGCUGCAUGAGUCCAGGAGCUCUCAGGACUCCGAGGAGCUGGACGGACCCCCCGCCUCUAAACCCACAAGGUCUCGUCUGGGCAGAGAUGUGCACGGGUUGUAUCCAGGACAGCUGGCCAGGGUCCACACCGCCCCCCCACAGGAUUGUGGGACACUGUGCAGCAGAAGGUCUGGACUCCUCAGCGAGUCUCCUCCGGGGGAAAACUACCAGCGGAGCUUUGACCUUUGCACCCUGAGAGCGGUGACCCCCCUCCGCCUCCGUCCAGCCGCGCCGGAGCAGCGCCCCCCACAGAGCACCUACCGAGAGCAGUUUCAGUCUCCUCUGUUUCCGCAGUAGAAAACAACGUCCAACAAUGAAAAAGUCAUGAGUUUAAAACGCAAAAUGCAGAAAGGACAACUUGCAAAUAAUUGAUUGUAUGAAUGUGUGAAACUAAAAGACUGGGCGGGGCAUUGGUUGUGGAAUGUAAGGUAAUCUGAGUGCCCCCCCCCCCGGCGUGCUUCACGGCCCCUGAGAAACGCGAGUUGUUCCUGCAGAGAAACAAUGCUGUUGUUGUAACAUCGGUAACGUUUGCUCCGUCCGUGAAUGCAAACCGGCCCGACAGCAUAACCCCAAGUUUGUUUUCCUCCACCUUCAUAAUGUCAUAGAUAUUUGUGUUUGUACGCUGUGUGAACCAAAUAAACAAACAACUAAAAGGAACAAACCCUUUCGCAAACAAAAUAAAAAUGAAAGUCUGAGUUUAAAAGCUUGUAUUGAUCUGAAUGAAUGAGAUGAUUUAAAGCUUCUCUGUUUUAAAACACUUGAGCAGAUUAUCAGUGGCACAAAACCACAAUGACUCUUUGGAUUCAGACACAAUAAACUACUGUAGAUCAGCGAGAACUUGUUACGCUGAUGACGUGACUGUUUAUUUAGCAUGGCUUGUACUGUGAUGGGGGGAGUAUUCAGAUAUUUCUCUGCUACAUUAGUCCAUCAGAAGUGAAAGUAUUAGGAUUCAUACAUGUUGUAUCAUCGUAUUAUGAUCAGGUUCAUCAGCCAAACACAUCUUUCAGUUGACUAAAGAUCAGAUGUAGAUGGAUAACCCUUUGCACGCUGUUGCGUUACAUAAGAGCCGCUCCGCCUUUCACCGCUUCAUGAAAAGCCUGCUGAGCUCCGUCAGCUCAACCCUCCACUAGAAUGGGGAUGUUACAUAAUCACGUUUUACCUCUAAUAAACUCGAC